GUCCCUUUCAACCCCAGCCAUUCUAUGAUUCUACGGAAAGCAGAAGAGAAAUGACAGUGGGGAUUUUCCUUUUAGUGAGGUUAUAAAGGGUUAUCCUCUCACCCUUCUUUGCAGACAUAUGUGAUUGAAAGGCAUUGUAUUUCUGGAAGAGGCCUCAAGCUGAUACAACUGAAAGCUGGCACAGAAGAGUCUGUAUCCCUGCCUUCUCCUAAAAUAUGCUCAACAGCAGUUGAACCACUUUGGAUCUGUGGUUAGAGCCCCAUUAAAAUCAGACAUCGCCUGAAACUGUGUGUAGAGCUGUGGUGGAGCCUGCCGACCCUGAGCAAGGAAUGCAGCUGAGUAUGAGACUUCUGCUCUGCUUCACGAGGAGAGGAACGUGCACAGAUGAAAUCAGCCAAAAUUACUGAUCUUCUGAAUAGACUUACCUUAAAAAUGAAGGCAGUGCCUUUAUGGGAAAUGCCAACGUGUUCUAACAUAACAUAUGCAAUUAAACUAAUUCUCCUCUUGUUUAAAAUGGGCUAAUAACUAUCACUGUUCCCACUUAAGUCAAUCUAUGUCUUUAAAUUUCAAUGAAAGAGAAAAGGAUCGGUGUUGUGUAAGUGAUGUAGCAAGCUGCUACAUACAAACGUAAUGCCAUUUGUGAGGCUUCAUUUUGUACUUUGUUGAAGGAAGUAACUCAGCCUCUGUGAGACAAUUAUUUGGGAAAGUGUGCCAGUUCUAUCAUCACUACAAAGAUAUCUUUCCGUGUGACAUUAGGAAGAGAGAGACCAUUUAGUGAAGGCUAAACUUUUCUGUCCUGGUGUAUUUCUGAAGCCACUGCUGUGUGUUCAUCUUCUGUGGUUUCUGUUUCAGUGUGGUUAAACAAAGAGUCGUGUAGGAUGAAUUCAGGAGAAGAAAUGCCAGAAAUCUGAAAUCCAAUGAGGUUCAGGUUCUGUGGAUGAUACACUGUUCCAGAUUCAUACAGAAUACACCACAAGAAAAUUUGGCAGAGUGUUUUUUGGGAUGAAGAUGUGAGUGUGCAUGUAAGAGUGGGACAGAGGAGAAAGGCACAAAAGGCUCUUGUGAAAAGUUUCUUUGUAUGUAGUAAUACUGGUGCAGAUGAAAGAAGAAGUAAAGAGAAUAUUGACUGCAAAUAGUUUUAAUCAAUGUUUAUCGCCAGCGCAGAGUCUUCAAAGAUUAGCAUGAGAGAGAAGAUUUUUGCCUGGGGAAACCAAUGUAGCAAGCAUUAUCUGAAAGGUGUUGAUGAAUCAGGUUUUUGUUUAUCCGUGCAUAUUGGGUACAUCUCCUUCCUAUUCGUGUUUAUUACAGUCUCUUUUGUUUUCCUCUUAAUCCAAUGUUUCUUAGAGGGCAAAAAUCAAAAAUUCCUCUGAGUGCAGAAGUCCUGGAAGUAUGGAUAAGACCUUUGAACAUACACAUGUGCAUCCUGAAAGACAUGUGCAUGCAUGCAUAUACACACAUGCAGAGCACAUGCAGCUGUUUAGUGCUGUCAUAUGCUAUAUGCUAUAUUUGUUUGUGUGGGUUUGUAGAUGCUUCUCUGUGCUCAGCUGUGUAAAGCAAGUUUGGAAGAAAGCUGGAGUUCAAUGGAGACGCACCAUCUUACAUGAUGUGAACUAGAAAUACCAAAGGUUAUCUCUGACAUUAGCAACUGGAGGGAGUCCUUUGUAACAUGGGUAUAGUAUAGCUACAUAAUUGGGAAUUCAGGUAGGUGUGGGAUGGAAACUUCCAGGGAUAGCUAAGUGCAAUUAGACUCUGGUAUGGCCAGAGAAUAAAGUAUCUGUUAAUUCAUAGGCUCUAAUACUUGAUAGAACAGCUUGAGUCUUUAAAACGUAUCAGAGCUUUGUGCCUAGGUUAGGCACCUGACAGCUGAUGCUAGUAUGUAUGCUACAUUUCAAGCAGCAGCAGUAUAAACAGUGCGAUAAUUUGUGCUUAGGAACAUCCUCACCUUUCAUCAAGCCUUCCAGAACUAUGAGGGUUCAACCCUUGCUUGCUCCUCUGGUGCCUGUUUUAUUUGAUGUCAGAUAAUUGAUACAGAUUACAUCUUCAGCAGUCUACCUGUUGAGGUCAGUUUGCAUUGGAUCAACAUUUACAUUCUACAGGCAUAUGGCAGAACCUGCAGAGAUCUCUAGUGAAGUUUCUGUUCUUCUUUAGGUGCACAGCCAAGAAUGUAACUUCGAUUUCCAGCAAAGACACAGUCUUAUUCUGGCAUUCAGCAGAAAGUAUAACCUCUGUAGGGGACCUCACUGCAGUUCCAACAGUGAAAAAACUGUAACCAUCAUGAACUAUGAUUUGUUUUCCGAAAAGGCUUGGCGAAUUUCCAUGAACACUAGGUAUCUGUCUAAGUUUGCAAGUUCCUCCAGCUGUCCUGGGGAGCUUGUAAGUUCCUUGAAACUCAUUUCUGUUCACAUGGCGAUUACAAGAUGUGACUGUUUUGCCAACAGAGCUGGUAAAUUCCAAGAACCUCAGAUACUAGAUUCACAGAAAUGACAACCCUGCUGGCCACACUGGUCAAGCUAGAAAUGUUUUUGAGUUUCAAGAGCUUUAGCUGUUUCUGCAUGCAAUUUACAAGUUGCAAUUGUGAAUCUACAUAAAGGACUUUGGCAACAAACAGGCGGAGCUCUUGGUGGUUACAAUCUCAGCCAGCACAGUGCAUUCACAGGGCUUGGAGAAGUUGCAGUGCUGAUGGUUUCUUAGCAGAGCCUGUAAGCCUAGAGUUCUCUGGACAGAAUGGCCUGAAACUGUCCUCCUGUUGAGUUAUCUGAGGAGAUCCUCAAAAUUCCAAGAUGGGAUAUAAUCAAUCGCAUCAUUAGAUGACCUUGUACUUUCUAUGGAGCCUAAAAUUACUGACUCAUAGAGGUAAUAACUCACGUGUAACAACUGGCAAGCUUGGGAGCCUUUCUAUAAUGUCCUCAUUUGAAGGAAGAUUGGAAACCACUGGAAUGAGAAUAUGAAUUCUGUGAACCUACUACAGAAAAUUCUAGAUGACAAGAAGUUUCUAGCUUCUGUCAGAAAGUUUUCCUUUGGUGAGAGAACAAAAAUAUUCAGAUGAAGAAGGGGAUUCUUAGUUUUAGAAAUUCAGUGUAAAUUAAAUAAAAUCUGAAUUUUGCAGUGAUUUUUUUUUUACAACCUUAAGCUAAUGUUCUGUCUUACAGAACGUAGAAGCUUAGAAGUUCCCUAUCGCUUUGAACUACUAAGUGCUUUUAGAAAGAAACAACACUGCAGUUAUAUUGUAUCUGA